rnacentral:rRNA from 1 species
GAUGAACGCUAGAGGCAGGCUUAACACAUGCAAGUCGAGGGGUAUAGAAAGCUUGCUUUCUAGAGACCGGCAAACGGGUGCGGAACACGUACACAACCUACCUUUAUCAGGGGGAUAGCCUUCGGAAACGGAGAUUAAUACCCCAUAGUAUUGUGGAGUGGCAUCAUUUUAUAAUUAAAGAAUUUCGGAUAGAGAUGGGUGUGCGUAAGAUUAGCUAGUUGGUGAGGUAAAGGCUCACCAAGGCAACGAUCUUUAGCUGAUGUGAGAGCAUGAUCAGCCACACGGGCACUGAGACACGGGCCCGACUCCUACGGGAGGCAGCAGUGAGGAAUAUUGGUCAAUGGACGGAAGUCUGAACCAGCCAUGCCGCGUGAAGGAUGAAGGCGUUCUGCGUUGUAAACUUCUUUUAUUUAGGAAGAAACCACUUUUUUUUAAGAGUGUUGACGGUAUUAAAUGAAUAAGCACCGGCUAACUCCGUGCCAGCCGCCGCUGUAAUAC